UUAAUUCUGGAUGAAAUAAGUCUACCGCGGAAGUCAUGAGGAAAUGAAGCAAAGUUAUAGUAUGGGAAAGUCACCGGUGGUUGGAACUAAAUUAGCCUACAUAUGAGGCUGAUUUGGUGGUGGUACAUAGAAAUACGUACUGGGUUCUUACUCUAUACAUAUCGAUGUGUAUUGUAUUUUCACUUUGUACACGUCUAUGUGUAAUGGUUUGCACUCGGGUACAUGUUCGAAACCAAGUAGACACUCCUAAAUAUUAUGAGACCUCCUAAAGAGUUACGAAGACAUUUGGUUCUUGACAGAGUUGUUCCGAGUUCUUCAGUAAAUGAAUGUAUUGUUUGCCUAGAGCCAAGCAGUGGGAGAAGGAUUUUACGAUCCAUGCAGUUUGCCACAGGAUUGAUGAGUACCGAGGAAGAUACUGUUCUUCCACCCAUCUGAGUCAUGCCUCAACCAGGAAGGCGAAGAAUAAUUGCAUCAAAGUGAAUGAGAUAAGGGUAAAAACCAUCUUAGAUUUCAAAUUGUAGUCUAAAAAAGCUCAAAUUCAAUAAAGAAACAACAACUGUAGCUAUGGCCGUUGGAGAUACAACAGACAAGUCAUUGAGGUUAGAGAAUUUGCAGGCAUCAAGGAUAGGAGAGACAUGAAGAAUUAUCUCAUCAACUUGAAUAGUAUGAUACUUAGUACAUAAUGAUAUGAACUAAGCAUGGGGUGCGGGUAUAUCGAGUACAUGAAUGAAGAGAUCCAGGUGCGGACACAAGACAUAUGGUGACAUGGUGUGGUUACAGUUAUGUACCUUGUAAAAGUAGUCCUCCUUUUGAGCACAUCAAAGUUUAUGCACUGA